AAUUGGAGGGCAAGUCUGGUGCCAGCAGCCGCGGUAAUUCCAGCUCCAAUAGCGUAUAUUAAAGUUGUUGCAGUUAAAAAGCUCGUAGUUGAAUUUCGGGAUUGACACAUCGGUCGUGCCUUAAGGGGUAUGAACUGGUGUAGUCAAUUUCUCACCUUCUGGAGAACCGCGAUGCCCUUAAUUGGGUGUCACGGGGAACCAGGACCUUUACUUUGAAAAAAUUAGAGUGUUUAAAGCAGGCAUCUUGCUUGAAUACAUUAGCAUGGAAUAAUAAAAUAGGACGGCAUGAUUCUAUUUUGUUGGUUUCUAGGAUCACCGUAAUGAUUAAUAGGGAUAGUUGGGGGCAUUAGUAUUCAAUUGUCAGAGGUGAAAUUCUUGGAUUUAUUGAAGACUAACUACUGCGAAAGCAUUUGCCAAGGAUGUUUUCAUUAAUCAAGAACGAAAGUUAGGGGAUCGAAGACGAUCAGAUACCGUCGUAGUCUUAACCAUAAACUAUGCCGACUAGGAAUCAGACGAUGUUAAUUUUUUAAUGACUCGUUUGGCACCUUACGGGAAACCAAAGUGU
rnacentral:rRNA from 1 species